GACGAACGCUGGCGGCGUGCUUAACACAUGCAAGUCGAACGGAAAGGCCCUGCUUUUGUGGGGUGCUCGAGUGGCGAACGGGUGAGUAACACGUGAGUAACCUGCCCUUGACUUUGGGAUAACUUCAGGAAACUGGGGCUAAUACCGUAUAGGAGCUCCUGCUGCAUGGUGGGGGUUGGAAAUUUUCGGCGGUUGGGGAUGGACUCGCGGCUUAUCAGCUUGUUGGUGGGGUAGUUGCUUACCAAGGCUUUGACGGGUAGCCGGCCUGAGAGGGUGACCGGCCACAUUGGUACUACGAUACGGCCCAGACUCCUACGGGGGGCAGCGGUGGGGAGUCUUGCACAAUGGGCGGACGCCUGAUGAGGAAACGCCGCGUGCGGGAUGACGGCCUUCGGGUUGUAAACCGCUUUCGCCUGUGACGAAGCGUGAGUGACGGUAAUGGGUAAAGAAGCACCGGCUAACUACGUG
rnacentral:rRNA from 1 species